UGCAGUCGAGCGAGAAAAGGGGGGCAACUCCCUGAGUAAAGCGGCGCACGGGUGAGUAACACGUGGGUAAUCUGCCCUGGAGUGGGGAAUAACACCGGGAAACCGGUGCUAAUACCGCAUACGAUAACGAGGUCUGCGGACUUUGUUAUGAAAGGAGCAAUUCGCUCCAGGAGGAGCCCGCGGCUGAUUAGCUAGUUGGUGAGGUAAUGGCUCACCAAGGCUACGAUCAGUAUCCGGUCUGAGAGGACGGUCGGACACACUGGAACUGAGACACGGUCCAGACUCCUACGGGAGGCAGCAGUGGGGAAUUUUUGGCAAUGGGGGCAACCCUGACCAAGCAACGCCGCGUGGGUGAUGAAGUCUCUUGGGACGUAAAACCCUUUCGACGGGGAAGAAACCGCAAGGUUGACGGUACCCGUAGAAGAAGCCCCGGCUAACUCCGUGCCAGCAGCCGCGGUAAUACGGGGGGGGCAAGCGUUGUUCGGAAUUACUGGGCGUAAAGGGUGCGUAGGCGGUGCUCUAAGUCGGAUGUGAAAACUCUGGGCUCAACCCAGAGCCUGCAUCCGAAACUGGAGUGCUAGAGUUCUGGAGGGGGUAGCGGAAUUCCUGGUGUAGCGGUGAAAUGCGUAGAUAUCAGGAGGAACACCGGUGGCGAAGGCGGCUACCUGGACAGAGUCUGACGCUGAGGCACGAAAGCUAGGGGAGCAAACAGGAUUAGAUACCCUGGUAGUCCUAGCCCUAAACGAUGGAUACUUGGUGUAGCUGGGAUUGAAUCCAGCUGUGCCGAAGCUAACGCAUUAAGUAUCCCGCCUGGGGAGUACGGUCGCAAGGCUGAACUCAAGGAAUUGACGGGGGCCCGCACAGCGGUGGA
rnacentral:rRNA from 1 species